UACGUAGGUGGCAAGCGUUGUCCGGAAUUAUUGGGCGUAAAGCGUGCGCAGGCGGUUUUGUAAGCCAGAUGUGAAAUCCCCGGGCUUAACCUGGGAAUGGCAUUUGGGACUGCAAGGCUUGAGUGUGGCAGAGGGGACUGGAAUUCCUGGUGUAGCAGUGAAAUGCGUAGAGAUCAGGAGGAAUACCGAUGGCGAAGGCAGGUCCCUGGGGUAACACUGACGCUCAUGCACGAAAGCGUGGGGAGCAAACAGG
rnacentral:rRNA from 1 species